rnacentral:misc_RNA from 1 species
GCAUUUUCAAGCCAAAAGUGUGAAACGGUUUGCGUUGGAAAAUGCGACAAAACAAAUAGUUAGAGCGGUUCCGGCGAUUCCGUUUUAACCGGAACAGCUCUAUGUCCCACGAAACGCGCCUCGGAUGGUGAGGCGGGCAUAUCGGCAUGCAAUUCCGUCGUAAGUGCCGGUUGGCUGCG